GAUGAACGCUGGCGGCGUGCCUAAUACAUGCAAGUCGAGCGAACAGACGAGGAGCUUGCUCCUCUGACGUUAGCGGCGGACGGGUGAGUAACACGUGGAUAACCUACCUAUAAGACUGGGAUAACUUCGGGAAACCGGGGCUAAUACCGGAUAAUAUAUUGAACCGCAUGGUUCAAUAGUGAAAGACGGUUUUGCUGUCACUUAUAGAUGGAUCCGCGCCGCAUUAGCUAGUUGGUAAGGUAACGGCUUACCAAGGCAACGAUGCGUAGCCGACCUGAGAGGGUGAUCGGCCACACUGGAACUGAGACCCGGUCCAGACUCCUACGGGAGGCAGCAGUAGGGAAUCUUCCGCAAUGGGCGAAAGCUUGACGGAGCAACGCCGCGUGAGUGAUGAAGGUCUUCGGAUCGUAAAACUCUGUUAUUAGGGAAGAACAAAUGUGUAAGUAACUAUGCACGUCUUGACGGUACCUAAUCAGAAAGCCCCGGCUAACUACGU
rnacentral:rRNA from 1 species